UUCAGAGGAUGGUCAAAAACGAUCUGAGGUGGUUGCUGGUAUUCUAGAUGAAUGGUGUAUGUCUGCAGGGCACCCAACAGAAAUGGAUGUUACAAGCCUAUCUGCUGCCUUAGAACAGGCUAGGCUCAAGUAUCAUGCACAAACAGUCAGAAACUUAUCUCUGGAUCCCAAUUCGGUCGGUUCAAUUAAGGAACAAACUUUUAAAAAUUAAAUUUUAUAUUUAAUAACAUGCAUAACACUAUCUGAAGUGCCUGCAUAGCCUGUGUGAUUUUUAAGAAGAAGAAAAAAUUUGAAGAAAAAAUCGAUGCUGAAAAAAAAAAUCUAGUUUUUCUUUUUCUACCUUCGGG